GUCAAAGGUUUUCAAAACCUGAGGUUCAUAGAGACUCAAAAUUGUAGCACCUUUAAUCAGUACAGGUUUGACUUUCAGGUAGAGAUGGGAAGUUUUCUCAGGUGAGAGAUAAGCCAAUAAGAGCAGCAACUUAAACCACAGAUACGCAAAGAGAAAUUAGAAGAAAGAAACAGCCAAUCAAAGGGACUGGAAAAAAUAGAGGAUUACAUGCUGAAAAGACACAAAUUUAGAUAAAAACAAAAUAUAAAAAAAUGGCAGCAGGAAGGAGACUAGAAAAGAUAGUAAAGAUAAUUUGACACAUACAAUGAGACAAAGAGAGAAAAAGCCACAGACAUAGGAACAGAAAGAAAAUAUGACUUUACCUAUAGUGAAGAAAAGUUUAGUCAGAGAAAGACAAAAUGGAACUGUGGAUCAUUUGAGAAAUGGGCUACUGAUUGCAAAUUAACUAGGCAUAUUGAUUCAAUUGCCUUAUGUUUAAAUUUCAGAUCAGAGACUAAGGGUCCAGAAGGAGGGUUGAGGGAAUUGCUGAGAUGUUGCUACAGAGAGAUGUUGCUGAAAUCUAUGAGGCCCAGACUCUAAGGGCAAGGAAUUGCCUCGGCUGGAGAAAUGAGCCUUGCCUGGGGUCAUCCACUGACCCAUUAAAUGACUAAGGUAGAAAUUUGGAAAGGUCUGGCCCCUUCAGCCCAGUGAAGAAAACAUUCACUGGGCAAUUUUAUAUCCAGGACUCCCUGUGAUGUUGGACAAGGCUACCUUCAGGCCUGAUUCACAGCUCAACUUUUCCUUCUGCCCAAUCCUACCCACUUUCAUUCCUUUUCAUUUUUAAGAUGAUUAUCCCAGGGACUCUCUUAUUAAACAAACUGCACACUAAAUUUUACCUCAAAGUCUGCUUCCCAGAGAACCCUGAAAUGAGAAGUUCUCAGAAAACCUGUGACAUGAAAGUGUUAGGGGUGGCUAAUAUCCAAGUCUCAUGACAUCAAAUAUAGUACCGGUGGAAGGUAUUCAAGUUACCAGUGGCAAAUCCAUAUGGGUCUGCAGCAACCUCAAUUUUUGCCUCCUCAGAAGAAAGAAAUUGACUGAGGGGCGUAAGGCAGAGAAAGAGAUCAAGGCAAGUUUCGAGCAGGAGUGGAAGUUUAUUUAAAAAUGCUUUAGAAGAGGAAAAAAGGAAAGUAUGCUUGGAAGAGACCCAAGUGGGUAAAUUGAAGGACAAGUGCUGUGUUUAACCUUAUUCCUAGGACUUUAUAGUCUGGCCCCUUUCCCGUGAUCCUUCCCUUAGAGUGGGCUACCCACAUGCACAGUGCCCUCCUUACCCUUAGGAAGUGAGCAUGCACAGUGUGUUUAGGAAGUCGUAUGCGUGCCCAUCUGAGGCUUUCUUCCCUUUCUCGGUGGUGUGCCCUCAGAAGGUCAUACUCCUUCAUUUUGUCUCUUAAUGCACAUGUCUAGAAAGUUACUUUCUUUUGGCAUCUGCAUUCUAUUAGCAGUUUAGUGCAACAGGUGUGGACCAUCAGGAAAUGGCGUCUCCCUGGCACAGGCUGCCAAUUUAUCACUUUUAGAGAGGCAAUGUGAUAAUUGCCCAACCAUUGCCUAACAUUCCUAGUGUGUGAGCUAGAGCCCUUUCCUGCCCCACUCAUGCCUAACUACCUGUAACAUAAGAAAGAUAACAUUCUCAAGGAUACCUUUUUUUCAGGCAGAUGAAACAGGAUAAGAAUUCAAGAGCAAAUAUCCAUGGUUUUUAAAUCUCUUAAGUUUCAAGCAGAAGAUCAAACACAGUGUGUAAGCCUGGAGAACUAAAAAUAACCUGUAAUUCAAGUUGACAUUGUGAGAUGUGCAGAAAAGAGUCAAGAUUCAUUUUCUUCACCUACCCAGAGACGACUACAUAAUUGAGUCUUCCUUUACUCCCUUUCUUGCUUCAGACAUUCACCUUAUCUUACAUAAAAUGUAGAUUUACUGAACACUAACUGAAGUCUCAGGAAUGUAAAUAUUUCCCCUACUGCUCAACCUACAUGCCUCCCCUUUCCCCCUUUUAAGGAAAUGGAUAAAUACACAACUUCCUGAAAACUUUUGUGGAAAUAGGCACAGAUGUGUUGGUGGCUUUUGUUUUUCCCAGAAAUGCCCUAAACCUGGCUUAAUAAAC
rnacentral:sRNA from 1 species